GGGGAGAAAGUGCUGUGGCUAGACUUUAAGGAUAUAUACGAAGUGUACCAUCAUGAUGCCCUGGACGUCUCUCUGAUCAGCGCUUGGGUUCUGUAAGUGUCCGUUUAUCUCUACAUGUAAAUUUUGGCGUGCGUCACCGUACUAACUUCAUCUUCCAUUUCAUGUAGGAUGCUAAUUCAGACAUGCCGCCGAGAGGCGUACCUACAUGUAGGCUUCAUGGAUCCAUCUGUAGUUAACCAACA
rnacentral:lncRNA from 1 species